GGAUAAUCAGCAAAAUGGGCUGCUGGAGGGGGAUGAGCGGCUGCCCAGGCUUGCCUGCAGCCAAGCACCAGCAAAGCCGGCUGCUGCAGCACUGCCCCAGAGCUUCGUAGCUGCCUCCCAGAGCCCGCCCUGCCAGGGCCACACCACCCCUCCGCACCAGGAAGGCAGGCAAACCAGAGCUAUACAAAGGAAACAUGCAGGAGCAGAGAGCUACAGAGCUACAAGCAGUUAGUCCAAGAACUGCUUGCCCAUCUCACCCCAUGCUCCAGCCAGAAAGCAGUAAAUAGCUGCUGAAGUUGUUAACUGCUAGAGCAUAUAUGUAACUAUUUGUUUUCUUAAAGCAGAAGAAACAAUCUUACCAGUAUCAUGGCAACAUGGGAAAACCGCUCAUAGGUUUGACAGAUGUACGCCAGCCCUGUGUCAUCCAGAAGGAUUUUCUGAAGAAUAAAUGUAGCAACCUAGAACAGGAAGAAAGCAGAGAAGAGAACAUAUAAAAACAACUCAUCUAUCCCCAGAAAGAACAGUCUUUGUGCUGUGUUCUUUUCAUGGCAGUCCCAGAGCUGAAAGGCCUUUCAGAAAAUGCUGUACUUGAUUUAAAAAGUUUAAAGCCAAAAUGAAAUGCAGGACACUGCACAAUGGUUGGCAUCUCUGGCUAAGGAAGAUAGAUACAAAGCACUGCAUACCAGACAACUGGAUGCAGGCUGUAUGAAGUAGCAACCACCAGGCUGCCCAGAACAGCCUCGUAUUAUGGCCACGCUGCUCUGGACACACAGAAAAGCAACGAGCCCUUGGCCCUGCUGUGUACACAGCAAGCUGGUUUCAGUUUUCAUCUCAAGUAUUACUGAUUCAUGACCAGACACGUGACUUCCUGGGAGAGCCCUGGUCAGAUAUGUCACCAGGCUUCACCAGAGAAGCACACAGACUGAAAGCUGUGGCUGGCCUGCCUGGGUCAUCCGACCACAGACCUGAACUCACGGUGAAAAACAGCCUUGAUCAAAUGGGGUAACCAACUGGUCCAGAGUGGUGAACAUCCCUAUAAUCACCACCACCAACAGCCGCUGUUCAACCUGAGCACUGAGUAGUUACAGCAUUUGUUCUCUCAGGCAAAAGGAAAGUUAACCCAGCUCAGCACUGAAGGUUACUCUGCUGAGCUACGAAGCACAAUGGGUGCUGAGAGCAGCAAGACCUUUCCUAGCAGAACUGCCACGCUCAAGGAACACUCAACUCAGUUUGUAUUUUGAGGAGUUAAAACACCAGCAAGAGUUGCAUCACCCUUUGCAACAGGAUAUCAGCCAACUCUGCAGGUUACAGACUGCCUGGUCAGUUGGAUAUAAACAACAGAAACUCUUAAGAAAAACAACAGGUACCGUCUUGGAGAGUUCACUGCCAGACUCCAUAAUGCGUAAGCACAGGGGGAUAAUUUCUGUUGUCAGUAAGAAGUUUAUCACUUCUUGCUCAUCAGUUUUCACCAAGGCUCCUUGAAAGAAAACCAAAAGACAAAUUUACUAAAUGAUAAAUUGUUAAAAACACAAACAAACAAAGAAAAACCCUCGUCUAUCAAAGAUGGCCCGUUCUGUGUCCUGCCAGGAAUCAUUAGAUCUGAAUGACUGACAGAACAACUCCCAUCCUAAACACGCUGCAGCAUGUGACUGGAGAAGAUAUCAUUUCAGCAGCAUAAAAGUAAUCAAGCUGGUUUUGGAGGCUGGUUGUUUUUCAGAAAGGGGAUACAUUCUUGGCUCUCCCCCUGGUGGUAACACAACCUCCAGUGACUCACAGCCACUCAACAGCAACCUCUCAGAAGAAGAAACCUAUUUCAAGACACUCUUUAUGCACGGAGAGAGAAACACUCCGGGCAGAAAAGAGGGGAAAAAAGAAGGAUGACAGGGCAAACAUACCCAAGACAAUCAAUGACAAAAAGCCAAAGAAAGCCCAACAUGCACUCUCUCACCCCAGUCUCUCGUUAGCUGUGCUAAGGGUGAAGGCACAACAAAAUUGCAGAUACUUGUUCUAACAGCAAGCAAGUUUUUGGCAACUGACCCAGACUUCAAAGUUUUCUUAGAAGUGGAAAAAAAAUCUCACUUCCUAUCCCAGACCUGACUUCAGUUGUGCAGGUUUCUAUACCCACAGCUUUAACUGCACCCAGCUCACUAGGAAACCAGUGCUCUGCAUUAGUCCUGUUGCUUACCAAUCACUCCGAGGCUUGUGAGCCGCAGGUACUCAAAUGGACGUGUCUUGCUAACUGUGUGCAAGAAGGGGUACAGGAAGAGAGGGAUGUGAGCUGCCAAAAACGCUGACCUGUAGGACAGGGAGAACACCCACAAGAGACAAAGAAAACAAAGUGAGCACACAAACCAGAACUAUCACACACAGCCUCAGACUACUCCUGACAGACAACAUUGCUGCUGCUGCUCCUCAGAAUUGGGUAGCAGUUCAUUCUCUGAUGGUAACGUGUGAAAUUAAUUCUGCGUGGGGCCAUGUUUGUGCAUUAACUACUGAUUCGGGCUGAACUAACACCAACUUUUUCCUUGCUGACAUGUGCAGGAGACUGAGAAAACGUGAAGUCGGGCAGUGACUGGAAGCUGCAGGUGUGACUUUGCUUUUGCCCCUUUGCCACAGUCCCUGGGAAAGGCAGCCUAGCUCAUUCCAUUCUUUGGGCAGCUGGUCUCAAUAACUGUAAGCUCAUUAAAACAAGGAUCUUGCAUGUAACACUCAGCACAAAGGCAGCCUUGUCUCUGGCUGAGCUCCUAGGGUCUGUCACAACUCAAUAUUUUGGGAAUUUGCAGGAUGUUGGGAUGAUUCAAGGAAUGCAAAGCAUUCAGGACCACAAUAAGGCUGUCAUCCUUGUAAUCCAGGCAAACAAGUGAAAGCAGCAGCCAGUUGCCUAUCUUCCAGCUCUGCCUGUUUUUCCACUUCUCUUGGUAAAAGAUCAGAAAGGAAUUUACAUGCUUCCAGAAUCAAACAGAAUGGCAGAGCUGUCAACAUCAUCAAUACACCAGAAAACUUUCAUACUUGGAAAUACUCACCUUGUUUCAGGAUGAGAUGCAACACACUGCAACAGAGCUAAAGCAUUGCAGACUCUGUUGGACUGAUGGGCAGUCAAGGUUGGAGGAUUGAUUGAUGGAUAAAUAUUUACAAUUUCCUAAAAAAGUAAUAAGUGAAGAAAAGUUAAAGGAGGAAAAAAAUAAAUCAGCAAGCUGCACAAGAGCACUUACCCAGCAAGGAACUGUGGUGCCAUGAGAUUUUAGUCUGCUUUCACUAAGCACCACUCUCAAGUUACAUGGCAGACACCAUGCUCCAAAGGAAGUGGCAGAGUUAUGCCAGAAUCAGUUUGACAAGGGGUCACACAGAUACAGUCAAACUUUAAUUUUAGCUCCCCCCUCAAAAUAAGGGCUCAUUUGAUUUCCCGGCUCUUUGCAGAUGUGGGGAUUACUCUGUUUUGAACUGCCAGAGCAAAGAGGAAUGCUGUUCCUGUGCCUAGAGGCAGAGCACACCCACUUCAUUCGUACCAUAGCUGCUGGUACUCUUCUAACUCAAUGAAGGGGAAGCAGCUGAAGGUGAAAAAUCCAAUGCAAAAAACUGUCUGCUUCCAACUAUGGCUCCCUUACGAUUUUCUUCACUUGUUUCAGGGCUGCUCUGUUUUCACAGUCUGGCAUUGCCUAUCCUGCAGGAUUUUCCUUCCUUCUUCACAUGAAAUGACUAGAUUCAGCAAAGAUGGGCAGACAUCAGCUGUAGUUUAUCCAGAGCUCAGCUGAGCAACUCAGUUUGACCAGAAAUGCAGGUAGUUUUCUUUGCAAGGCACUCUGGAGCAGCGAGCUACAAGCACUCCCAUGCUGCCCCGACGAGGGAUCUCUGUAAUGGCAACCUUUUGAUCAGGCAGUACUCAAAGUGUGGAAAAUAAAGAAAAAAACUCCACAACACAAAACAGAGAUCUUAGGAGUAAAACUAUUGUGGCUCUGUUAUGACACCAUACAAAAAUGAGAAGACUUAUCUCCAGGAAGUUCAUACACAGAAGAACUUGCCUGUUCCCCUUUCAGCUGUAUAAGCUAUCUCACCAACAAUCUUAGGGCCACCUUGGAAGUGAUGAUUGAUAGAAAACACUAGAAACGUCCUCCUUAUGUGGUUCCCCUCACCACGUGAUCCAGCAGCCAUCAUACACAGAAAUGGCACGAAGGAACUCUAUCAGUGCCUCCCCAGAUCCACCCCACGGACACACAGAGCUCUGCAACGUAGCAGCGCUGUGCCACGGAACAAAGCUGAGCUCUGCCCUACCCACCUGAAGGAGUGCUGCAAUCGUGCCAAACGAGUGCCACAGCAUGGGGGCAAGGUCAGGCACAGACUCACGCUUCUUGCUCAGCUCCAGCAGUGCAUUCUCCCUCGUCUCAGGGCUGGACAGCUCAUUGAUCCACUGGUAGAUCUUCUCACGGUCCACCUGAGCCAGUGCUGUAGGCACAGGCUGGGAGGGAGACAAGAAAACUUCAGUCACAGCUAUUUCAGUCACUUCUCACAGCCUCAAAGGUUAAGCAAAAAAAGGGCUCGAGGAAGUGGCUGGGGGAGGGAGGGACUAAAGCUGCAUUAUGAAGCUGUGGAUACGGAUGAUCCCUUAGAUUAGGCUUACUACUUCGCCUAUCUGAAAUACAGCUGUUUCACUUUCUGGCCUGACUCGUUAGGGCAGUCUCCCUUAAUUUGCCCGCCAACCGUUUCCUUACAACUCCAUUUAGUGACAUGAGAGCCGUGCUGCUGCCCAUCUGUGCCAGCAGAGCUCCUGGGGAGGCCAGACAUACUUCAGCCACCUAUCACCCGCUCCACCUGCAUUGCUUUCAUGCUUCAAAUGCAAGCCACAAAUCCCAACUAAGUAAUGCAGAUGCUACCUUCUUCUCUCCGAUAACAACCCGGAUACUCAAUGAACCCCAUUGACAGGCUCCAAUGGACAUUAGACAAAUGUUGGUGUAGUGAGAAGAAGAACAACAUCAAGGCCAGCAAGUUUUCUGGGCAAAACUUAGGGAGGGCUGAGAAGAAAGGGAGAGCAAAGAAGUGGCACCACUGUUUCUGUGGAAAUGGCAAGGAAAAAGCCUUGCAAUGAAAGCCUGUCUCGUGCCACUGCUGGCACAUGGAGCACUCAGGUUGCAGACAGCUGCUCAGCAGGCCUCCUGCAGAGACAGUGUGGUGAUUCAGACCAACAAUUUGGAGGCAAACUUAUGCAUUAAAGGGAGUGCUUCAUGUCCUGCACUGCCAGCAAUGCUGCUACCAGCAGCUCCUUACUGAACACAAAAGAGUUGAGGAACUGACAGCAACUGGAACCAAAAUGAAGUUCCCAGAGCUGCUGGAGGGAGACCCCACGGGGGGGUGUCCAAACACACCCCCAGAGCCUUCCCUCUCUAUUGCUACAGCAGUUUCCCUGCUCAGCUAUCCACACAUCAUAUUUAUAAUCACAUCCUAAAAAGUCCUGUGGGAUUUAUAGUGGAUUGAAGUUGUAAUUUGUCUCUUUCUCUAUGUAAUUUAGGCUACAAUAUAAGCUGAUGUGCUGUUACCAAUCCCUACAUCUCAUGCCCCUAAUACCUUGUACCUGCUCACCUUUCCUCCUAUCCCCCUUUUCUCCUCGUCUACUUUAUUUUAUUUCAUUCCCCCCCCCCAGAACCUCAUACUGAAAUAAUAAUCUGAACAAUUUUCUGUACAAGGAACACAAUUCCAAUGGUAACUCCGAUACCAGAGCUGGGAGACAGAGGGUGAACAGACUGAGCUCAUUUGUUUUCGUUUGGGAUGGCAGAGUGACAAGCAGUGCAGCAGUAAUGUUGUUAUAAUUGCGUUAUCUGAAGCUUCCAUCUAUUUUUCUAGACUCGUCGUAAGUUUCAGUUCCUGUAAGCUUAAAUAUAUCGACCCUUUAAAAGCACAAUCGUGUGUCUAUGAUCCCUGGAGAGCACUACGCAGAUUUUCCAGACAAUUAAGUUUUUGAUGCCCACUAUCAGUCUCAGUGAGAACCAGUUGCUGGCCACAGGCUCCACAGUUGCUCAGUAAACGUGCCAGCUGAAAUCAAAA